GAUUAAGUUAUUAAGGGCGCACGGUGGAUGCCUUGGCACUAGAAGCCGAUGAAGGACGUUACUAACGACGAUAUGCUUUGGGGAGCUGUAAGUAAGCUUUGAUCCAGAGAUUUCCGAAUGGGGAAACCCAGCAUGAGUUAUGUCAUGUUAUCGAUAUGUGAAUACAUAGCAUAUCAGAAGGCACACCCGGAGAACUGAAACAUCUUAGUACCCGGAGGAAGAGAAAGAAAAUUCGAUUCCCUUAGUAGCGGCGAGCGAAACGGGAAGAGCCCAAACCAACAAGCUUGCUUGUUGGGGUUGUAGGACACUCUAUACGGAGUUACAAAGGACGACAUUAGACGAAUCAUCUGGAAAGAUGAAUCAAAGAAGGUAAUAAUCCUGUAGUCGAAAAUGUUGUCUCUCUUGAGUGGAUCCUGAGUACGACGGAGCACGUGAAAUUCCGUCGGAAUCUGGGAGGACCAUCUCCUAAGGCUAAAUACUCUCUAGUGACCGAUAGUGAACCAGUACCGUGAGGGAAAGGUGAAAAGCACCCCGGAAGGGGAGUGAAAUAGAACCUGAAACCGUGUGCUUACAAGUAGUCAGAGCCCGUUAAUGGGUGAUGGCGUGCCUUUUGUAGAAUGAACCGGCGAGUUACGAUUUGAUGCAAGGUUAAGCAGUAAAUGUGGAGCCGUAGCGAAAGCGAGUCUGAAUAGGGCGUUUAGUAUUUGGUCGUAGACCCGAAACCAGGUGAUCUACCCUUGGUCAGGUUGAAGUUCAGGUAACACUGAAUGGAGGACCGAACCGACUUACGUUGAAAAGUGAGCGGAUGAACUGAGGGUAGCGGAGAAAUUCCAAUCGAACCUGGAGAUAGCUGGUUCUCUCCGAAAUAGCUUUAGGGCUAGCCUCAAGUGAUGAUUAUUGGAGGUAGAGCACUGUUUGGACGAGGGGCCCCUCUCGGGUUACCGAAUUCAGACAAACUCCGAAUGCCAAUUAAUUUAACUUGGGAGUCAGAACAUGGGUGAUAAGGUCCGUGUUCGAAAGGGAAACAGCCCAGACCACCAGCUAAGGUCCCAAAAUAUAUGUUAAGUGGAAAAGGAUGUGGCGUUGCCCAGACAACUAGGAUGUUGGCUUAGAAGCAGCCAUCAUUUAAAGAGUGCGUAAUAGCUCACUAGUCGAGUGACACUGCGCCGAAAAUGUACCGGGGCUAAACAUAUUACCGAAGCUGUGGAUUGUCCUUUGGACAAUGGUAGGAGAGCGUUCUAAGGGCGUUGAAGCAUGAUCGUAAGGACAUGUGGAGCGCUUAGAAGUGAGAAUGCCGGUGUGAGUAGCGAAAGACGGGUGAGAAUCCCGUCCACCGAUUGACUAAGGUUUCCAGAGGAAGGCUCGUCCGCUCUGGGUUAGUCGGGUCCUAAGCUGAGGCCGACAGGCGUAGGCGAUGGAUAACAGGUUGAUAUUCCUGUACCACCUAUAAUCGUUUUAAUCGAUGGGGGGACGCAGUAGGAUAGGCGAAGCGUGCGAUUGGAUUGCACGUCUAAGCAGUAAGGCUGAGUAUUAGGCAAAUCCGGUACUCGUUAAGGCUGAGCUGUGAUGGGGAGAAGACAUUGUGUCUUCGAGUCGUUGAUUUCACACUGCCGAGAAAAGCCUCUAGAUAGAAAAUAGGUGCCCGUACCGCAAACCGACACAGGUAGUCAAGAUGAGAAUUCUAAGGUGAGCGAGCGAACUCUCGUUAAGGAACUCGGCAAAAUGACCCCGUAACUUCGGGAGAAGGGGUGCUCUUUAGGGUUAACGCCCAGAAGAGCCGCAGUGAAUAGGCCCAAGCGACUGUUUAUCAAAAACACAGGUCUCUGCUAAACCGUAAGGUGAUGUAUAGGGGCUGACGCCUGCCCGGUGCUGGAAGGUUAAGAGGAGUGGUUAGCUUCUGCGAAGCUACGAAUCGAAGCCCCAGUAAACGGCGGCCGUAACUAUAACGGUCCUAAGGUAGCGAAAUUCCUUGUCGGGUAAGUUCCGACCCGCACGAAAGGCGUAACGAUUUGGGCACUGUC
rnacentral:rRNA from 1 species